rnacentral:rRNA from 1 species
UNUGCUGUGAAAGGCUGGGGCUUAACCCUGGUUUUGCAGUGGGUACGGGCUAACUAGAGUGCAGUAGGGGAGACUGGAAUUCCUGGUGUAGCGGUGGAAUGCGCAGAUAUCAGGAGGAACACCGAUGGCGAAGGCAGGUCUCUGGGCUGUAACUGACGCUGAGAAGCGAAAGCAUGGGGAGCGAACAGGAUUAGAUACCCUGGUAGUCCAUGCCGUAAACGUUGGGCACUAGGUGUGGGGGACAUUCCACGUUUUCCGCGCCGUAGCUAACGCAUUAAGUGCCCCGCCUGGGGAGUACGGCCGCAAGGCUAAAACUCAAAGAAAUUGACGGGGGCCCGCACAAGCGGCGGAGCAUGCGGAUUAAUUCGAUGCAACGCGAAGAACCUUACCAAGGCUUGACAUAUACUGGACUGCGUCAGAGAUGGCGUUUCCCUUCGGGGCUGGUAUACAGGUGGUGCAUGGUUGUCGUCAGCUCGUGUCGUGAGAUGUUGGGUUAAGUCCCGCAACGAGCGCAACCCUCGUUCUAUGUUGCCAGCACGUGAUGGUGGGGACUCAUAGGAGACUGCCGGGGUCAACUCGGAGGAAGGUGGGGAUGACGUCAAAUCAUCAUGCCCCUUAUGUCUUGGGCUUCACGCAUGCUACAAUGGCCGGUACAGAGGGUUGCGAUACUGUGAGGUGGAGCUAAUCCCUAAAAGCCGGUCUCAGUUCGGAUUGGGGUCUGCAACUCGACCCCAUGAAGUCGGAGUCGCUAGUAAUCGCAGAUCAGCAACGCUGCGGUGAAUACGUUCCCGGGCCUUGUACACACCGCCCGUCAAGUCACGAAAGUUGGUAACACCCGAAGCNGGUGGCCUAACCCUGGUGGGGGGAGCC